ensembl:lncRNA
ACAACGGCAGUUUGUGGGCAAGGCAAGCCCACUCGAUGCUAAUCAACCAAGGGGCACACACACCCCUCUAUCGUCAACGCCCCCUCCACAAUCUCCCUCCCCGAUAGGUCCAGGCAGAGAUGGAAAAAAACAACAACAAGGGCUUUAAAAACAUCCACAUUGUUCCGUCCAUCAGUAACAUCUGGUUAUCAAACCGGGGUACUGUGGCUACAUUCUCCUGUUUUUCGGCACAUUGUUUAUUCUCCUCCAUCUCCGGGGAGGACAGAAAUCAAAGUUUACAGUUUUUUUCUUGCGUGAACUCAAAACGCGAACAUGCCCAGCAAGAGGAAGAAGAACAAGCGCCGCAUGAGAAGGGUGCAGGCCCAGAGGAGAGUCCUUGAGGAGCAGCAUUCUACUGGCGCAGGCAAAGGAACCCCAGGAGUGGCUGCCGUGGCACCCCCCCUUGAAAUAUUAAAUUGUCCCCCCCUUCUCUCACCCCCUCCAGUAGUAAAGGUCCCAGUCGUAAAGCCCCCUGAAAUAUCCAAUUGUCACCCCCUUAUUCCCCCCACUAUAGUAGUAAAGGUCCCAUUCGUACAGCCACCGGCCCCAGUCAAAGUACCAGAUCCUGAGGCUGUGGUGACGGUGGUAGAGCCUGAAGUGGUAGCAGCUGAGGUUGAAGUUGAGGCCCCAGUCGAAGCUCCAGUGGAGGUUGAAGUCGAGGCCCCAGAAGAAGUUCCAGAAGAAGUCCCAGUCGAGGCCCCAGAAGAAGUCCCAGUCGAGGCCCCAGUCGAGGCCCCAGAAGAAGUCCCAGUCGAGGCCCCAGAAGAAGUCCCAGUCGAGGCCCCAGAAAAAGUCCCAGUCGAGGCCCCAGAAGAAGUCCCAGUCGAGGCCCCAGAAGAAGUCCCAGCCGAGACCCCAGAAGAAGUCCCAGUCGAGGCCCCAGAAGAAGUCCCAGUCGAGGCCCCAGAAGAAGUCCCAGUCGAGGCCCCAGAAGAAGUCCCAGUCGAGGCCCCAGAAGAAGUCCCAGUCGAGGCCCCAGAAGAAGUCCCAGUCGAGACCCCAGAAGAAGUCCCAGUCGAGGCUCCAGAAGAAGUCCCAGUUGAGGUCCCAGUCGUAGAAGCAGAAGCUCCUGUUGAGCCCCCUACAGAAGAAACUGCAGCAGGGCAGGAAGUUGAAGAAAGCAUCAUUCCAGAGACUGAGCCAGUAACUGAGGCCAUACCCAUUCCUGAGGCCCCUGUGUCAGCUCUUGCUGAAUUUGAGGUUCAGGUCGCAAACUCCGUAGCGAUUACCACAGAGAUCGCACAGACUCAUGAUGAGCCGGGGCUCGAGGCUGAAGUGGAGGCUGAAAUAGUUGACGAGGUCCAAGCGAAAGUAGAGGCAGUAGUUGAGGAAGAACCAGAGCCCGAUCCCAUGGUCAAGGCCGAAGCUGCCCCAGUUGUAGAAGCUGAACUUGAACUGUCGGGAAUCAAAGACGGAGACAGUCCUAUCGUCAAAGCUGAAGCCAUUCCUGAAGAUAUUGAUGUAGAAGAGCAUGAGACUGUUAUGGCAGAGGCACCUGAAGAGGUUCCAGUGCAGACAGAAAUUAUCCCAGAAAAGCUGUGGAAGCCCGUGGAAGCACCGAUUGAAGAAGCCCCCGUAGCCAAGAUCGCUCCAGCAGAGCUCCUCGUAGAGGCCUCAGUAGACCCUGUCAUCAACACAAUGGCUGACUUUGCCAUCACAGAAUCUGUUCCCGUUGUGGAAGCAGCCAUGGCUGAGCAGGUGCCCGCAGUUUCAACGGAUUCACUUGACGCCCUAUCGGAGUUGCUGAACGACAUCACUCUAGUCACUGAGCCCGCCCCUGUCACAGCUGAUAAAGUCAUUGACGAGCCAGAGUGUGAGGAGAAAGACGUGACAGAGAUGAGGGUGAGAGACAAUGCACUUCCACCCAAUUACCGGCCCUGCUCGGAGGACCUGCUGGCUAAAGAGGAAAUUGGAGCCCAGAUGGAAAUCGAGGCUAAAAAGGAUGCCAUAGAUGAGAAGACGGUCCUUGACGUCAUCUCUGGAGAUUUAUCCACCCCCCACCCUGUUAUCUCAGAACUGCAGUGUCACACGCAGCUCGCCGCCCCCAAGGAAAUCCCAACAGAGGCAGUGCUGAAUGGACAGAUGGCAGCUGAGGUGGCCAUUGAGGGAUAGAUCUCUAUGGAUGUCCUCAGUCAGUAUGAAAGACUAAAGAGAGCCUGACAGUGAGCCGACCAGCGAACUUUACUUUUCAUUUUUUAGGGCUUAAAGGGACCGCUGGGAAAUUUGACAGACAUCCAACACUCAGUGCCUUUCUUGCUUGGGUUCUUACAAACAAAAUAUUAAACAAGUUUAAAAUGCGACAUGAAGGUGGGGGAAUAACACUUUUUUGUUGUUGAUCAGAAUGUGACAAUUUGGAAUAAACAAAUCAUGGCUUUCAUAGAUUUCUGUAUCCCAUUGCAUAUAUUGUGGAUUUGCCUCAAUUGUAAAUGGCAUGCAUUGUGUAUGAAUACUGUAGAAUUAAUGAAUGUGGCAAUGGCUUGUCUUCACAUGUUUGUAUGGAUGAGAGGGAUUAAUUCCUUGUACACGUUUCCUGUUUUAACCUGGUUUGAUUCCUUUUUGUGAAGGGACAGUAUGGCAGUUUGUACAGUACCAUAGCUACCCCCUCUUCUCCCUAUCCCCAUUGUGGUACUUUUGUUUUUUCAGGGACUGUAUGAUGACAGCUCCACCCUCUUUACUGUGUAGUGUCAGUGUGUCUACAGUCCCAAGUCUGUCCUGGGCAAUGUGAAAUGGUGUGUAGUUUUAGGUCCUCUGACCAGAUGCUCUUAACAUUUAAUUACCUAUGCUGCCAACUUAAAAUAGAGUAUGGGGGCCUGUAGAUCCUGUUUUUAGUUUUUCUUUUCUUUUUCUGUUUUGUAUAGACCAUAUGAUGUGGUACAACCGCUGUUUGUGUUCAGUUACGUGCUCUGGAAUUGACCAUGGAGUUGUCAUGUAAUUGAGGAGCUGGGUUGGAUUUCAUUCACCUUUUUGAAUAAAGAUGUUACUCACCAAGUUCUUGAUUCAGUUGUUGGCCUGUGUUCUACAUUCCUUAGUAAUAAUGUUUUUGUUUGUUUUAACACAUUCAGCUUGAGUUCCACAUUAGCAUAACGUUUGAAACUAUAAAUAGUUCCAGGCAGCUGAAGCAAGCACAUUUU